UACGGAGGGUGCAAGCGUUACUCGGAAUCACUGGGCGUAAAGGGCGCCUAGGCGGCCUAGCAAGUCGGGGGUGAAAGCCCAGGGCUCAACCCUGGAAGGGCACUGGAAACUGUUAGGCUUGAGUUCCGGAGAGGAGGGGGGAAUUCCCGGUGUAGCGGUGAAAUGCGUAGAUAUCGGGAGGAAUACCGGUGGCGAAGGCGCCCCUCUGGACGUAAACUGACGCUGAGGCGCGAAAGCGUGGGGAGCAAACAGG
rnacentral:rRNA from 1 species